AAUGGGCUUUGGCCUCUCUCUCACUUGAAGAAAGAUAGCCACUGUUCUUAUCUACGCAAUUAUGUGAGAGCUGUAGGAGCAUUUUUCAUCUUCAUUUCAGUGCUUUGGUCUACCAUUUUGGAAAGCAGGGGCAAGCCAGGCAUCAUACAUUUUCGAUUUUGUCAAUUUACAUAAUAGUCAAGCUUCUCGCUUUGCUUGCUGUGAAAAUGAUCUUCAUAAUCAAGUUCCCUACUUAACUAAC
rnacentral:lncRNA from 1 species